rnacentral:tRNA from 1 species
CGGGGUGUGGCGCAGCCUGGUAGCGCACUUGCAUGGGGUGCAAGGGGUCGUGAGUUCGAAUCCCACCACCCCGACCA